rnacentral:rRNA from 1 species
UACGGAGGGUGCAAGCGUUACCCGGAAUCACUGGGCGUAAAGGGCGUGUAGGCGGAUAUUUAAGUCUGGUUUUAAAGACUGGGGCUCAACCCCAGGAGUGGACUGGAUACUGGAUGUCUUGACCUCUGGAGAGGUAACUGGAAUUCCUGGUGUAGCGGUGGAAUGCGUAGAUACCAGGAGGAACACCAAUGGCGAAGGCAAGUUACUGGACAGAAGGUGACGCUGAGGCGCGAAAGUGUGGGGAGCAAACCGG